GAUUAGGGUCAACAGCUGCAUGCCAGAAAUUGACGGCAGGUGUGCCACUCGGCAACUUUUUUAAGGAGCCUGGUGCGAAACUGCGACGGCAGUCGGAGCAGCACGGAGUAGAGGUGCACAUGAGGACCUCGACAGAGUUGCGACCAGUGGGAUUUUUUUUUAAUGCUUUUAGAAACCUCAUCCAUUUGGCUUUUAAUACGCUUGAUCUCUGCUCAGAUUUUAGAAAAGAUGAAAAGUGACCUGUGGAAAGAGUUGGUAGCAGAGUUCCGAGAACAAUUUACGUCGCUAUCCCCGGAGCUGAUCCAGGACAUCCGAGAACAAAAACUCGUCCCGAAAAGGCCAACCAACCGAGAACCUCAUAUGAACCUCACGCUACAACUCCUUCCAGCUGGGGCCGGAGAAAGGAACACUACGGAAACAGUCCACAAGGACAGUGGGUACCAUGUCGUCAGUAUAACAGUCCUCCUUCCAAUCCCCAGCAAGACUUGGAAAAUGACUACCAUAACCAACAACCUACGAGGGUUGGUGUGAAUGCAAUGGCUCAAACUCCACCACAGCCUACGUCCAUUGAGGCCACAAGGGAGAAGAACCAACACUCAACAAAGCAGCAUGAAGAACACAGCUUUUUACACAGAUGCAACACAUGUUAUUUUA